AUAUGCGCGAGUCAAAGGGCUGGCUAACCCCAAAGGCGAAACGAAAGUGAAUGAGGAGAGAGUAGGGUUAUUUAUUUAGCCUUCUUUGCUCUUUCUCUAGGGCCGAUCCGGUUCGGGCGCAAGCUCGAUUUACCUCAGUUUAAACCUAGGAGGACGGCGCAGGUCCGGGGCUCGCUAGCUUCCUCCCCGCUGUUAACGUUAACUUAUGGCGUUAUACUCGCGGCAGUCUUCAGGUGGCUCUUCUUCCAGCAGCCAGCCUGUUCGAUCUAGCUGCGUUCGGCUUCACCGCUGGGCGUUAGCGACGUGAGAGAGAGGCGGAUGUUGUUGGGAGGUUCGGGAGUCUGCCUAGCUGUGGCGGGGCGUUGACGGUUUGCGGGCAGGGACGAACGGCGGGUACCUUGAGCGCAUAUUCUAGUACCCGAAAGAUGGUGAUCUAUGCCUGGCGAGGAUGAAGCCAGAGGAAACUCUGGUGGAGGUCCGUAGCGAUUCUGACGUGCAAAUCGAUCGU
rnacentral:rRNA from 1 species